rnacentral:lncRNA from 1 species
CAUAACACUUCACCAUUAUUUGGCCCUAGAGGAAGGCAUUGAGAAGUAGUUAGUAGAUGAUGGGUUGCUAGAGUGACAGAAGCUUAAACCCUAGUUUAUGCGUUGCUUCGUAAGGGGUUGAUUUGGAUCCACUUGUUUAAUGCUAUGGUUAGACUUUGUCUUAAUUUUUAUUUCGUAGUUGCGGAUUCUUGCGAGAGGGGUUAAUCAUAAGUGGGAUGCUUGUCCAAGUAAGGGCAGUACCCAAG